CUAUUGGAAGGUCCAUUGUGGGCAAAGCUCCAUCCCCCUUAAUGUCUCAAGAAUUUUAGUCCUAUUCAAGAAGAUAGUCAAUAAAAUUUUGAUCAGAUUUUAUAAAAUUUAAUACUAUUAUAUCAUAUUUUUGUCUCCAUCUAAUAAAUUUUUGUCUUAACUUUAUAUAUCUAUUUGUUUUAGUAUUUAUGAGUUUCUUUUUACAGAAGUCAAUUGUAGUUCUAAAAUCACAAUGAAUAGAUAUAAGAGGGAUGAGAGUUUGUAUCAAAAGAAUAGAUGAUCAUAAAUUUUUGAGCCACUCAGCUUCUAAGGAUGUGAUAUCAAGGGCUAUUAAUUCUACCUCCAUAGUACUUCUAGUUAUUAUAGUUUGCUUUAUAAAUUGUCAAGAAAUAGCAUUACUAUCAAAAAUAAAUAUAUAUCCAGAGGUAGACUUAAUAUCUAAAGAAUCAAAUUUCUAGUUAACAUCACUGUGUCCCUCACAUACAAUCGGAUAGCUAACAUAUCUAAGCUUAUAAGAAAUGGUGCCUUUAAGAUAUCGAAAAACUCUUUCUAAAGCAAUCUAAUAAGAUAUAUAGGUUUACUGGUAUACCUACUUAAUCUAGAAAUAGCAUAAACAAUAUCACGUCUAGUUCUAUUGCCUAGAUAUAAGAGUGAUCUAAUUAUUUGAGCAUAUCUUUCUUGAUUCACAAAGUUAUCAGUAUUCUUUACUUCUUGAACAUCAUGAUCAUAUAGUGUAGACAAAGGAGAAUGAUCAAAAUAUCCAAACUUGUCUAAGAUCAUUUGAGUAUAAUAUGAUUGAGUUAGAUGAUAAGAAUUAAAUGAUGUAUUAAUCUUUAUACCUAAUAUUACAUUAGUUUGACCAAAAUCUUUCAUGUCAAAGUGAUUUGAUAACAAAGUUUUGAUAUCAUUAAUUGGAUCAAUAUCUGGUGCUAGUAUGAAAAUAUCAUCAAUAUAUAGACAAAGAAGAAUGCAUUUAUCAUUAAAUCUCUUAUGAUAUAAACAAUUAUCAAAGUCAUUAAUUUGAAAAUCACUAGAAAGAAUAAUACUAUCAAAUUUUUUAUGCCAUUGCUUAAGUGCUUGCUUUAGCCUAUAUAAGGACUUAACUAGUUUGUAUACUUUAUUUUCUUGAACUGGCAUAGAAAAGGUAUCAGAUUAUCUCAUAUAAAUCUCUUCUUCUAGAUCGCCAUAAAGAAAGAUAGUUUUGACAUCUAUUUGAUGAACAAGAAGUUUGUGAAUAGAAGUCAAAGUAAGAACUUUGAUGGUGGAGAUAUGAGCAACAAGAGAAUAUAUAUCAAAAAAAUCAAAGUCAGACAUUUGUCCAAAAUCUUGAGCAAAAAGUCGAGUCUUGUACCUUUUCAUAAAUCUAUCUAUCCUAAGUUUUUUCUUAAAGAUCCACUUACAUCCUAGAGGUUUGCUUUCAGAAGGUAAAUCAGUAAGAAUCUAAAUAUUAUUCUCAAUAAUUGAUUCUAUCUUACUGUUUAUAGUCUCCUUCCAAAAGAGAGUUUUAGAAGAACUCAUAGCAUCUUAAUAAGUUGUCGGUGUUUCUUCAAUCAUGAAUGUUAUGAAUUCUUCACCAAAACUCUUUGCAGUUCUAGCUCUCUUACUCUUCCUAAGUUCCAAUAAAAGAUUAGGUUCUAAGAGGUUAUGAUCUAGUUGAAAUGUAGAAGAAAGAUUUGAUGAAGAAAGAAUUGAUGAAGAGUCAGAUAUUGAAGAAUAGUUAGAAGUUUGAUUGAAAACUCGAGUUUUGAAAAGAAAGAUAUUCUCAAAGAAAGUUGCAUCUCUAGAUUCAAUAAUAGUAUCAUUAAAGAUUUCAAUAAUUUCAGAAUUAACUACUAAAAAUCUAUAAGUAUUACUAUCAAGAGAAUACCCUACAAGGACAUCAUCUACAGUUUUAGGUCUAAUCUUUUUUCUUUUGGAUUCAGAGAUUCCAACCUUUGCUAGACACCCCCACACACGAAAGUAACUUAGCUUAGGUAUGUGUCCCUUCCAAAGUUCAUAUACAGUUUUUUCAUUAUCUUUAGAUGAAAUUCUAUUUACAAUAUAACAUGCUGAUAGAAGAGCCUCCCCCUAUAAGUUCUGAGGUAUACCAGAACUUAUAAUUAUGGCAUUAAUCAUAUCCAGUAAGAUUUGAUUCUUACGCUCAGCUAUACCAUUAGAUUGAGGUGAGUAUGGAGCUGUGACUUUAUGAAUUAUUUCAUACUCUUAACGGAAUAAAGCAAACUCAUUUGAAGUAUACUUACCUCUUCUAUCAGACCUUAUUAUUUUAAUCUUUUUUUCUUAUAGGUUUUUAGCCUCAUCUUUAUAAACUUUGAAUCUAUUAAGAACUUCAUCUUUGGUCUUCAAGAGAUAGGUAUAACAGUAUUUAAAAAAAUCAUCUAUGAAAGUCAUAAAAUAUCGGCUUUCUCCUCUAGUUGGUCUGCUAUUUGAGUCACAUACAUCACUAUGAAUAGGUUCAAAUUUUUGGAUAUUCCUAAUUGAGAUUGAUUUAAAAGAUUUUCUAGAUUGCUUGAAUUUUACAUAGAUUUCAUGAUUACUAUUAUCGACUUUGAUUUUAGGGGUUAAAUUUAAAUUAGAUAUUUUCAUGAUUGACAUAUGAUUUACAUGACCUAGCCUACCAUGCCAUACAUCAUAAAAUUCAGUAUUCAUCACAUAAGAUUGAUUAGAGACAAAGGAAUACUUACUAUUUAUUGAAAGAAGUAGUACAUUGAUCUUGAAAAGACCUCAGAUACAAAACCUUUUCUAAUAAAUAUUUUUCCUUUAGAGAUUACAACUUUAUUUGAUUCUAACACAACUUUAUAACCUGAUUGUAUCAAUAAAUAUCCACUUAUUAGGUUCCUACGAAUCUUGCAAACAUAUUGCAUAUCGUAUAGAGUUGAAGUCUUUUCAAAUGUCAGCCUUAGCUUGACAGUUCUAACUCCUAGUAUGUUGACAGACAUCCAAUCUCCUAUAGGUACACUUCUUUCACUUGAGUCUUGAUAGGAAUAAAAUCAAGCCCUAUCAGUACAGAUAUGAAUUUUAGCACCAGAAUCUGACCACCAAUCUAAGUUUGAGAAGAUAAAGUUAAUAAUAGGUAUAAAAGUUACUGAUCUAAAGAUAAGAUUUGAAGAUUCAGCCUCUAUCAUAUUGACUUGAGACUUGAGCUGGUUCGAUUGACCCUUCUUGAAAGUGGUGAUCUUUUUUUUUGCUAUAAUAACAAUCAGUGGCAGGAUGGUUGUCCCGACCACAAAUAUAGCAGAACCUGCCAUCAUUUUUCUUCUUAUUCCUUUUUGGUUGAUUAGGUUUAGGAUUGCCUUUAGGACCUUUAACUUUGGACCUAAAGUUCAUAAAUUUAGGUUUAUAGUUGUGGUUUUGAAAUUGUCUAGGCUGGUAGUGCUUAUUCUUAUCUUGAGAAUCGACCUCAGUUAAAUUUACCUUAGUUUGCAUCUGAUUCUCUUUAAUCUCUCUAAAUUAGUGUUGGUUUUCUAUUUUAAUAGAUUGGAUGACUGAUUAAAGUCUAAGAGUUCUUUGGGUUCUUCUAAGUUCUUGGGCAAACUUAAACCAGGAAGAUGGUAACUUAUCAAUUAGAUAAGAUAUUUGGUAAUUUUUAUCUAGCACAGGACCACCCCUAUGGAUCUCAUGGAUAUAAUUUUGAAAUUGAUGGAUUUGAUCAUUGCUAGGAACAUUAUCUAUCAUUUUAUAGUUAUUAAAAUCUAUUAUAGUGAAUCUUUGAGUAUCCUCAUUAUCUCUAAUGUAGGUAUCUUUUAAAGUAUACCAAAGAUCUUUAGCAGUCUUAUAUUUUUUAUAGGUCUCAUAUAAUUCAUCAAAAAGAUAAUUAAGAAUCCUAAACCUACAAAAUGAAACUCAAUUUUCUUUGGAGAUUGGUAUACUGCAAAUUUAGAAUCUGUGGAUUUGGAAGAAGAUCUUUUUAAAGGAUAGGGAAGAUUUUACCCUAUAGCUAAUAUCAAGUUAAAAGUUAUAAGCCAAGCUUCUAAAUAUUUUAGGCAUCCAACAAAUCUCGAGUCUUGAAUUUUUUUAGGCUUGAGACUAGAAGCAUCAUCACUAUCCAUUUUAAGAAAUUUAGGAGAGGGAAUUAGAUAAGAAAAGAUGAAAUAAAUGAGUUGCAAAAGAAAUCCAAAAAUUUUACUUAGUAUUUGCAUGAUUCUCAAUGAUCCUUAGAAUUUUUUUUUUAUUUUAACCUUUAAAAUUAUUAGAUUAAAUCCAACAAAAUGAUAAUUAUUAUAUCAAAAUUGUAGUGAGCAAAUUUUCAAGAACAGAACAAGAUAAUUUUAUUUAGAGAAUGCUAACUAGUUUUAAUUCCAAUAGAUUAACAAAAUAAAUUCUAUGUUAUUUGAUUAUCAUUUGUUAACUUUCUUAAAUAUAAUCCAGGGAAUUGCACCUUAGAAUGUUAGAACACAGCUUAUAAUAUAUGUCGGAUAUAGUCUAAGAAAGCUAACAAAUUCAGUUAUCUACUUUAUAGAAAAUCAAAUAAAUUAAUUUACAAAAGAUCGCUAAACCAAAAUUAAAAUGCAAUCGGAAACGUAUGUAGCAGUGUCCUAAGGUAUAUUUUCAUCAUUUAUGCAGAAAAUCUCGAAAACACCACCUCAAGAUAUGAUCGGUAUUCUUCGCCUACGAGCAUAAUUGUGGAGGAGGUUGCUGAAGACUCUUUUAGUAUCUAGAAAAAGAGAAAGAAGAAGAAUUGAUUGGAGAAAAAUAAGAAAGAAGAACAACAGAAAAAUUGAUUGGAAAAUUAGAAAGAAGAACAACUUGAGCUCAUAGAUUGCUUACUGGAUUAGGACUCAACGGGCUUUUUUUAUAGCCAUCAGAUUUUGAAUUUAUUUGGGUUAUUUAGCAUAAAAUGCAUAUGGUGAAAUGAGGGUUGCCAUUUUUCAAGGAUUCAUUGAAAGCCCUCUAGAGUAUUGCUUAAAAAAAAAGGACUACUAAAAUAAUUUAGCCAUAGCAAGUAUAGUAAAGCAAAGACAAAUUGUUUGAGAUUGCUUGGACUCCUUGUGGUUCAAAUUAAAAAGUAGGCUAUUUAUAGCCCAUCAGCGAACCCAACACUCCAACACAACUCUUAUCACGUACCCUUUCAGCAUGUUUCAAAUCCUCAACAAUCUCUUGGCAUUUUUUCCUUUUAUGACGAAUGUGAAUGGAGAGAGAUGACACUGUCUUGUCGUUCCUCUUCUUACUUGCCGUGGAUCCUCUCUGCAGUAUGUUCAUUCUGCCAUGUCGGCAUAAAUCCCUGAAGGGUUGGAAAAUCUAUGGAUUUGUAGUGGCACAAGAAUUGUAUAGUAUGCUGAUGAUACUAUUAUUUUUACAAGAGCAUGGAGAAAUCAUAUUGCAGCAUUGAAGCUAAUCUUAUAUUGUUUCGAAGCGUUGUCAUGUCCCUCCAUUAAUUAUCAAAAAAACUUUAUUUCAGGUCAAAAUACUUAUAGUUUAUAGGGUUAAUAAUUUUCGAUACUGCUUGUUGACACAGACAUGACACAACACGUAUUUAGAUGAAUUUAAAUUUAAAAUAAAUAGGUUCGAAUCAUAAAUAGAUUAAUCUAUUUAUGAUACGAUAAAAUCGUGUCUUAAGUGGAUUGACCCACGUAACCCAUUUUAACCUAUUUAACUGAAUGGUUUAAAAUAGAUUAAUGGGUUACACGGCACGUUUAAAUAUGUUUAAUAUGUUUAUUUUAAGAUUGCUUGAGGAUAAAUGAGAAAAAUCAAAAAAUUAUAAUUUUAACCUAAAACAAACAAUAAUGGAAUUCAGAGCUGUGAAUUAGCAUAGUAAAUACUAAAUUAUUUUUAUAUUAUAUUAGUUUUUUUAUUAAAUUUUUAUUAUUUUAGUUAAAUUUUAUAAAUAAGUCAAAUAGUUAAACGGAUUAUUAGGUGGGUCAUGCAUCUAUUUGACUCGCCAACAUGAUUAUUAAUCGUGUUAGAUGGAUCGUGUUGUGUCAAUUCGUAUACAUUCGUGUCAUAUUCAUGUUCCACAGAUUGAUCCAUUUAAUUAAAUAGGUCAUAUUUAGAUGGAAUUAAUAUGUGUUAUACCCUCAGGUCGACAUGACCUGUUUACGAUCCGUGAACACGAAUUGUCAGCCUUAAGUGUAGAGAACUAUGCACAUUGGCUCGACUGUUCCCUAGUCCCUAUACGGUUCAAGUAUCUUGGGCUACCUUUAAAUGGAGCCAAACCUUACCACCGCAAUGGUAGUCCGAUAAAACAGACCUUUGCCUUCCAACCAAGUGAUCAUGAUUCGAGUCAUGGUGGAUGCCGUGGCUUUGAUUAAAUACUGGGAUAAUAAUGAACGGAAGUGAGUUAUUCAAGGUUUGGAUGUGAGGUCUGAAAGGGGCAUUUGGUCCACCAACCCGUGGUGGUGCUGAGGUAACGUACUCAUCUAUUGAAUUUACCCAUAUGAUGGAGAGGAGGAUGUUUGUUGCCCAAAUUUUAUCUCCGAUUCGAAUAUUCUUCGAUGAGGUUUAGGGUGUUAUGGUCACAUCGAGGGGGGUAGCUACACCAGGAGUCUAUGGAGGAUUUAAUAACAUUGUUAAAAUGGAUGGAGACUAGACUUGCAACUUGAAAGUGUAAAUAUCUCCUCUUUGCGGAUCCCCUCACUCUAAUUAACUCGGUGCUUAUAUUCCUGCUCAUCUACUUCUUCUCUCUCUUUGGUUCAGUUCCUCCUCUGCCAGUGGACUCGCCUGUAAAAUAAAGUGGAGAUCGGUUUGCUUGUGGAAGGAAGCACUGAAUUUGUUCAAUAAUUGGUCUCUUAUCUGCAAAUAGAAUGAUCUUACUGGUUUUGGGGCAUGGUUGAGCCACGUCGACAACCUUCUCACAACUGUUGAUCAAAUCAUGGGUGCACCAGUAUUUCAGACCUCCAAUUCAUAGAUUGGAUAUUAUGAUUUGUGCAAAUGGAAUUCAUCUGAAACUUUUCCUCUCAGAUAUUCACCCUUGUUCUCUGUUUUUUUAGCAGCCUAGCUUCUUCUGUCUUUGGUCAGCCAGAGCUCUGCUCUUUGGUCAGCAGAUCAUAGCAGCUCUCUAUUCCUAUCUUUGCAAAGAUGCUGUAAUCCUUUUUCAUCCUCUCUGACUCUGAAUAAACAGUAGGUGGCCUUUUUUUGGCCUCCUUUUCAUCAAAAAAAAAAAAAGGCAAAUAUUCUCGGUGUAUCCUUCUCCUGUGUUAAACUCUUGUGAAUUUUCUCUGAGUUAUUUUUUUCCUCGGUAGACCCUGGUAAGAAGUCCUGUACUCUAUAUCACAAGGCAGCUCUCUUGCUUCCUCAGUGGUUUGGAUGAACCACGUUGACUCUAUGUAUAUCAAACUAAUUUUAUUUUCUAUUCUUUUCUACUAUCAUAUUCAGUCAUUUCUGGAGUUGUAUCAAGCAAAUCAUCUAUAUGUUUGCCACCUUUGAUCUUAGAACAUAGAGGAGAUCAGUAACUCCAACCGCGACGAUAGGCUCCAGUUGAUGUCAUAGAAAUCGUUAAGAGAGAGAAGAAAAAAAAAAAAAGAAAAUAGAAGAGAGGAGGACAAUAAUAAAAGAAAAGUUAUUUAAAUUACAUAGACAUUUUUAAAGCACAAAGUUGAAAAGCCUAAACUUACUGCUUUGAAGCUCACGCAUUCUCAACCAUGAUUGGAGAAUAUUUUGUCGAAACCAUAUUGAAAACAUAUGUUUGUAGACAUAUAUCUCUCAUCAAAUUUAGUACCAACUAUGAUUGCAUUCCAUGAUUGCGAUACAGUCUUUAAAAAAUAUCUCAUUUCAUUGCUACUUAUACAUAUUCCUAGCAAAUGUGAUCAUCAAAUGAGAAUAAUUAAGUACCUCUCGCACCGUGAUUGAACCAUCCAUAUCCUUUAUCUGCCUCCCAUUUGCGGUAUAUGCGUGCAUGUGUGAAAAUAUGAAAAAGCCCUGCAGACAAUGCAAUGCUUUGUACAAGGGGGAGCAUUCCUCCCCAAGUAUCCCUAACAUCUCUAACCCUGAUGAAGUUUGGUCUGCUCAGUUAUUAGGUUCAUAAUAUGUGAUUUUGUGACAGUGGCCGGAUUUGGGCAUAAAAAAUAUGAAUUUUUAAAGAGGCCCAAAUCGGAGCCCAACUAAAAAUGAAUAUAAUUUAGGCCCAAGGUCUGCCCCAUGAUCAUUUCUACCACGAUGGCAUGAGAGUGCAUGCUGAUAAAUAGGAGUCAUCUUCUAAAUUGGCAAGAAAAUACAGUAAUGAAUUGAAGUCGAGCAAAACUAUGCAUGUAUUAGUGGGAUGGUGCGGGUCUAAUCGACCUCGUUAAGUACCGGGCUUAGGCUGAAGUUUUAGGGCUUUCCCCUAGGUUGGAUAAGCUUGUCUUAUGGUUUUUGAAGCUUGGAUUUUUGCAGGCUACUCUAGGGGCUUUGAAGUCCUUGAAGAUAUGAUAACCAGGUAUGUUUAUAGGCUGGUCCAGCACAACAGAAAAGUCUAAAUAUAUCAAACCAAGUUUACGAUAUAAUUCGGAUGCACAUAGUGCUCUUCUUUGGUAUAAAACAAGAGAGCAAUCUUCAUGAAACAUCCAAUAUUUGCAUCAUUUUCAAAACACAAUCUGGCCAUUUAUCUAUGGUGCUACCUCUGUACAUCAGAUACCUCACAUGGGCCUAUGAGAUGGCCCACUAUCAGGCUACAUGCGUUUAUGGCUGGCCCAUCACAAAUCCUCAAAUUUCUGGCCGUUCAUCAUGGAUAAGGUGCUUGCGUGUUGCAUGGACCAGCAGGGUGGGGCCAAAGCUAUGUCCAACUUAAUUUGGACAAGAUUGCUACUUGGAAGCUAAAACUCGUCGAUCAAGCACAGAUCCCAAAUGAAGACUCGUGACCAAUUUGGGUUAGAUUUAGAUCUGAUUCACAUAAAAUUUAAUAUAUUUAAUUUAAUAUAUUUAAUAUAUAUAUAUAUAUAUAUAUAUAUAUAUAUAUAUAUAUAUAUAUAUAUAUAUAUAUAUNNNNNNNNNNNNNNNNNNNNNNNNNNNNNNNNNNNNNNNNNNNNNNNNNNNNNNNNNNNNNNNNNNNNNNNNNNNNNNNNNNNNNNNNNNNNNNNNNNNNNNNNNNNNNNNNNNNNNNNNNNNNNNNNNNNNNNNNNNNNNNNNNNNNNNNNNNNNNNNNNNNNNNNNNNNNNNNNNNNNNNNNAUAUAUAUAUAUAAACAGAGGUCUCUCAAUAGAGAAGCCUUCGUCCACUACAUGGCAGUAAUAUAGGACCUCCUUUGGCCAGGUUACCACGUAGAAGGAAAAAAAAAAGCACUCGCAGAAAAGGAACGGAGGCUGUCGCGCAUUGCCGUCGGAGGUGGCGCUCUAAUGCGUGCGAAGGGGGAAAGGCUUUUUGUUUUCGCUCCAUAGACGUCCUCCGAAUUGUCAGAAUAUUCUUGGAGCUCCGUCGAAGGGAGUCGUUGCCGCCGUCCGUCACCUGGAGCCAUGUCAGGCGAUGGCAAAGCUACGGUUUGAUGCCCGAAGAGGAGCCUCCUGAGCCAAUCAAGUCCAUCACCUAAGAUUCCCUAUUCGCCUGCUUCAUAGACUCCGGAGGAUGCUUCUCGAUCCGUGCUUUAUAAGGAUGUGUUCGUCUGCUUCAUAGGAUUUUUGUGUGAGUUGUAGCGGUGUAGCAGAGGGCCGAGGAGGUGGGCCUCGCGGCCAGGAGGCGGAGGGUGGCAGGAAGGCCAUCGGUUGGAGGGAGAGAGAGGAGGAGGCGGAGGAGAGCGAAGAAAGAGAGCACGAAGAUUGGAAGGGAUUCUUAGAACUGGAAUUAGAUUUGAGAGACAAGGCGCGGAGGCAUGUUGUUUGGAUGCGGGCGGUGCUCAAUGCCGAGAUAACACCUGCAGGAAGAAAUACGAGAGAGCGAGAGGAUGAAGGUAGCGGUGGAGGAAUUGGUGGAUAUGAAAAGAGUUAGGUAUUUAAAAAUUACAUCUUUUUCUUCUCAUCAUUCUCUAUUUUCUUUUCAUUAUUUGUGAAGAGUUCAUAAUCAAUUCAACUUUUUCUUCUUUCCUUUGUUUUUCUUGAUUUUACUCAUGUUUUCACCCAUUUUUCUUCUGAUUUUUCCAUCCUCAGGAGUCCCAACCGGCUUGAAGCAGCCAAAUAGGGAAGAUUAGACGAUGGUUGGGGUUUUGUGUUGGGUAUUUUCUUUCUUUUUCCAUUCUUGAGAGUCUCAAUCGGAUGGAAUAGUUGAACAAUGAAGCUUAUACGAUGGCUGGGGUUUUGUGUUGGAUAUAUUUUUUUUAAAGUUUAUGUUAAGAAUUUUACUAAGAAUCUUUAUUAUAAUUUAUUUGAAGGGUUGGAUAAUCUGGCACGAUGGCUGCCGUCGGAGUGCCAGAGCUUGAUGUGCCAACAUCGUGCAUCAUCGUGGCAGCCGUCGCACAUAAUUGGCAGUGGCCUCUCUCUCUCUAUCGUCGUAAGCAUCUGUGGAAGAGGAUCGAAAAGAUGGAAUUGGGGUGUCGCGCAUCGCAAUGGAGUGUCGCUUGGACAAAGGAAGAGCGACACCGCACCAGGGAGUUCAAGGUGAAGGAGACCAUGGCCAUGAUCAAGAACGUUGUAAUUUGAAGGAAGCAAUUCGGCAUCGACAUCCUUCUCGAGGGGGACCUUGGCCUGUUGGAGAUGGAGAAAGUAGUUUUCAUGCACGAGUUCGACAAAAAGGGCCACCCUAUGUGCUAUAACAUCCACGGAGAGUUCCAAAAUAAGAAGCUUUAUGCCAAGGUCUUCGGCGAUGAGGAGAAGAGGCAGAGGUUCCUCAAGUGGAGGAUCCAGUAUCUGAAGAAAGGGAUCAAGAGCCAAUUGGACCUCACUCCCGGAGGAGUCUGCUCCGUGGUCCAUAUCACAGACCAUUCUCAAAGACAACUAUUCCAAAUUCAUUGCCAAGAAGGUAUUUUUGAUAAAGAUCCCAUCUUUUUUAUAUAUUCCUUGAAUUUAAUCUAUCUUUUUAUGUCUCAAAAUUAGCAUGAAUUUAUAAUAUAUAUAAAAUAAAUUGAAUAGAAUAAUUAAAUAAAAUAAAAUAUUUUUUAAAUAUUAUAUUUUUUUAAAUAUUUUUUAAAAUAUUUUAUAUUUUUGUUUAGAAUAUUUGAUAUCAUCCGUAAUAUCUUUUAUAUUNNNNNNNNNNNNNNNNNNNNAUAUACCAUUUAUUGUACGGAAUUCUAAGCUAGUUUAAUUUAUAAUCUGGGUCAGACAUGGACUCACCACAAACCCUUCCCAGACGAGAUCUACUUCAAAUCUAUGGGUCCACAACUUGGACUCAGUUAGGGGUCAAAUCUAAAAUCAAACUAGAUUUGGACGUGACAGAAGCCAAUCGGACUCGGUUAAGGGUCCAAUCUAAAAUCAACCUAGACUUGGAAAUGACGGAAGCCAAUCGCUUCUUUUGUGAGGCUUACCGGUUGCCGCAAUUAUUUGGGGCUUUGGGCCUGUAUACAGGCCCAAAGAUACAUUUUGUGGUUAAACCCAAGAGAAAUAUUUUGUGCACCACGGCCGCGGCAGUGCAGCUCCGCAUGCAUCAUCCACGGUGAUUGAUUUUUACACGAAGUUGAUAAAAAAAAAUUAUUUUUUUUAUGCUGCAUCCGAUCUUGUGCAUAAAUCAAUCACUGUGGGCGACACCAUCGUGGUCCACAAAGUAUUUCUCUAAACCCAAACUCACGAGCAGGUUUCCGUCCGCUCCACACGUUGGAAAUUAUAGCCUCAAGCCCACUUGACAAUUUCUGAGCUAAAUUGGUGUAUAUUCUCCAAGUAAGAAGGAAAAAAUUAUCUUUUUGAAGCCUCGACGCUACCGCAACUGAAUUUAUAGGAGACAUUAUAUAUGGACCUAAUUUUGGUCAUAUAUUCAGAUUUUUCAGUGACAAAUUUUCUUUAGACCUGGAAGACAGAAUCCUUUUCUAUCUGGAAUCAGAAGCAAGCAGAUGAGUUAGAAGGUAUAAAAAAAAAAAAAUUAAAAUGAGAUGAGGUUUGACCAUGGGUUGAGAUUGAGCUUCGUAUGGUGCAGGUCUAGCCAAAGGGACCCGAACAAUCCUCUAAUAACAUGGGCCAUGUAAAGUCCAUAUCACUAUUGAUUUGGACUUCGAGCUAAUCAUUUAUUUAAAGUUUUCAGUUUUUUUUUUUUUCUUCUUCUUUUUCUGUGUGCAUGCAUAUAUGAACUUUGUUUUUGAUGGCGGUUGAUGAUAAUGGCGAACAAGGGAGGUACUUCAUUUCAUACCACAAAAUGAGUUUGUGGAUCAUAUCCAAUGAUAAUCUAAUGACCUACUCUGAGUUAUUCCUAUGAUUUAUGAUGCGCCUCCACAUGUGUUGAGGCAAAUGUUAUUUCUGAGGGUACUUGAUGCGCCCAUCCUAUACUUCAUCACGAUCCUCCAUGGUCUGAACUUGAAUGGCAAAAAUCCAAUCUUCCAAUCAUGUUGUCUGUGUAUCAUGUAUGGGUAUGUUUCCAUCUUUUAUACUCUAAUCAAUAUUUUCCCACCACUGCGAGGACUUGCAUGUCUUCACAAGAACAUCCUCCUAGCAUAUCAUGUUUUUAGCUCGCUUAAAAUCUCAAGCACUAUUUUCGAACCGAUGAUAAUUGAAGCCUCGUGACCUCAUGGACUUCGAUUGCAAGUCAAGUCACAGGUGCCUGUCUAGAUCAAUAUUAGACAUAGCAUUGAACCUUCAUCAAUUGCACUUGACGCUUAAAAUAUCCCUCAUGAAUGCCAUAUGUCCUGAUAUAUGCUGACAUGCAAAUAAUUUUAGCUUAGCAAUCAAACUAACAUUUAAUAUAUAUAGCUUGUGGGCAUGAGUUUCCACUUAUUCCGUAUUUGAUUGAAGUCAUGAGAAGAUGGAUGAAUGAGAUUAAAAGAAUGGAUAGCCUCCAUCCAUCAAUUAUUUCAAAAAGUUACAAGGAGGAUAGAUAAAAAAAGAGUUGUCCAUGCAUCCAAACACAUCAAUUUGCAUCAUCUCAAGUUGGAAGGAGGCAAGAAAGGAUGGAUUGAACAUUAAUAAAUAAAUUUUUACAUUGAUAAAAUUAUCCAUCAUUAAUUUUUGGAUAAAAAUAUAAUAUUUAUCUACUUUUUAUUCAAAUUAUUUAUAUAUAUUAUAUAUAAUAUCAAUCAUAUAUUAUUAAAUUUUAUUACUAAUUAUUUUAAUUUUAGUACAUAAUCUCGAUAACUAUAAUUAAAUAAUUAAAAUUAUCUUCUAUUUUUUUAUUUUAUUUAUUAUUUUUAAUUAACUAUUUGUAUAAUAUUAUUAACUAUUUAAACUAACUAUAGAUGAUUUAUUUAUAUAAUUAAUAUAUAUAAUUAAUUCAUUAAUAUUUAGUUUAUAAAAUUAUUUAUUAAAUUAAAUUAAAUUUAAAUUAAAUAUUUAUAUAAUUUUUUAUAUAAUUAUAGAUUAUAAUAGUUAUAAGUUUAUAAGUUAUUUAUUUUUUAGUAUAAAUAAAUAUUAUAAAUUGAUAAUAAUAAUAUUUUUAUCAAAAGGUAAUCUAGUUAAAAUAUUAUAGAAAUAUCAUCUAUCCUCUUUUUAAUUCCUCCUAACAAAACUGAAGCAGGGAUUAUCUUCAUCUAUCCUUCUAUGUUUAACUAAAUAUAUGAAAUGAUAGUUCUCCAUCUUUUAUUUUUUUAAUCCAUCCUUCAUAUCAAAAAGAGGGUUAACGUCGUCUGAUAGUUGGCUCAAAUUAUCCAAAAUAGUCCAUUCACGGGCCAUGCACCCAAAAUCCGAUGGAACAGUAGCUUUACCUCCUUCCUCUUGCUCUUGUAUAUCAAGAGUCUUGAAAGCAGAGCUAGGUCACCAUGUUUGCCCACGGUUUCCGGCAGCUUAAAUCCGGCUACAGCCGUGACCCAUCAAGGUGGUUGCCCACAUAAAUUGGGAAUCUUUGAAUUAUAGCAACUGGGACUGCUGGGAUUGUGAUUUGGGAGUCCCCACCUCAGAAAAUAUAUAGCUAACAUGUGAACUCCUCCAUUCUUUUUCAAACUCGAAGGCCUAACGUCAACCCAAAAAAUAUUGAUAACCUCCCGAAAUACAUUGCACAGGGGCCCCUCAAAGCAUCAAACCCCAAUAAGAAAAGCUUCAAAACAGUUGAUAAGAUGUCUGCCAGCUGGGAGAACUAGACCUAAAACAUGGCCGAGACAAGAAAUUUGGAACCAUGGGUUUGGUUUUGGAGCUUAGAGGCCGCAAAUUGUCAAACAACACAUGGAUCUAUUGGUGUACGUACAAGCAAACCAUAUUUUUUUUUAAAAAAAAAUUGCAUGCUAAGGACAUAAAAAAUGGUCACAUUCGACUAAUUGGGUCCUCUGAUAACCACAGCCCUAAAGUAUGAAAUAUCUACAAGGAACAAGCCGACAUGCCCGAGAACACGAAAAUUAUUGAGGAAACUAUGAAACCAAUGGAUUGGUGUGAAAAUGGUCACAGUGUGCAUUAAGUUAAAACUUAAUUACCAUCAACACCAACCUACUACGUUGGUAGUAUGUUGUGGUUAUGUUGUGUUUAUGGAUGCUUAUUUGCACUAGUUGUUAAUAAUACAAUUACCAAAAAAAAAAAGGGGGAAAAAAGAAGAUAUUUGUCGACAUUGAUUGAGGAUUAUUGAAGGAGAAAUGAUUAGAAAAAUCUCAUGAUGGAGCCUAAUCAAUCAAUAACAAUUCUUUAAUGAAUCAAAAGGUUUUGUUGGCACAGCCAAGUAGCUGUCAACAGGCCUCUCCCACCACUAAUUGUCGUGUGCUUUACCCAAGUGUACAUGUACAAACGUGAGAAGGUCGCCUUCCCAUUACUUUGUUACUUUGUCCUUAAAGGAGAUCAUGUCUUCCCACCAACAAUUAUUAUUGCCUGCCCCUCUGUCUGUUCCUUAAUUUACUUCUUGGAGGAGCAUGCCUAACUCUUUCAUCAAAGUCUUUUUUGCGUGUCUCCUUCUUGAAGGCAUGACUAGCCUUGGGGACUUUGAGGCCUUAUUCAAAGGCAUGCUUAUUUCGUGCCUGUUAGUUCCCAAGAUGCCUCCCACUUGGCAUUAUUAAAUUAGCCCACAGGAACAGCAUCAAGCGAUCGGGACAACAUGAGAUGUUCAUUUAGAUGAGGAUAAGAAAAGGAAGUGACAUGGUUGGCUAAACUAGAUUAUUACAAGUGGUCAAUUAAAUAAUAUAGUUCAGCUGAAGAGAAGUAUUUGGUAGACCAUCCAUCACUUCAUCAGAAUAGCUGGUUUCCCCAGCAAAGGGAAGGGGAAAACCAAAAGUUCCCAAGGGAGAAAGAGAAACUUCAUUUUUACAAAUAAAUAAUAUAUCUAAAUCAGUUCUUCUCUCCAAAAAGAACAAAAUUCAUAUCUUGCCUUUAAGUGAUUUCUUAUUAAAGCACCACGGUAGUGUUUUUUCUAAGGCUGUCUUUGGUUACAAGCAACUGUGAAGUCAUUGAGCUAUUAAUGUCAUCAAUCAAGUGGAGUUAAACUUAUAGUAUCCAUUUGCGACGACUUCUAUUACAUUCAAGGUGGUCCUUCCAACUGCUUUCUAUAGCUUCAACUAAUGACCAGCCUAACAAAGUAGGAAUUAUAUGCGACCGUCAGUUCACAACAGAGCUUAGAAGCACCAAAGCACCCUUAUUGAGAUAAAAUGCAUUUGAGUUCUCAUCUUCUCCCAAAAAUAUUUGAUUAUCCUAUGAUAUAACUGCUAUUGAAAUGUGCAAUGCAUUAAUAAACAUUGCCACUUUGCCUGGUCACAUAUAAUAGCAACCUUUAAAGGAACUCGAGCAUUGAAAUUGGUAUUUACAAGUGCCUUGCUUGGAAAAAUAAGGCCCCCACAGAUUUGGGAUAAAUAGCAUCGACCCCUACUGGAUUUCUUAUUUCUGGUGUGAUUGGUUUAUAUUUCAAAGCUCCAUUGCGGGUGUAAAACAUUGCUUAUUAACAUUUCAAGCAAAUUAGUAACCAAAAAACACAUUUCGGGCAAAUUAACCAAGAGCCAUCACCUACUAGCUGUAUUUAAUGGGGCAUCUCACAUGUCACAAAUCUCGGAUAAAGUCUUCUAAAAUGGCUUCUGUGGGCAAUGUAGCAAUCCACACCAACCCAUAUAUGAAAAUUAUCUUGAGCAUAGUCUCAAAAAUGGUUUGUGAUGUGCUGUUACAAGUAUAUUUUCAAUAAGUAGAUAUGUUCUCAUCUUUCCAGGACUGAUGGGACUCACAUCUACAAAAUGGUGGAUUCCUGCCUCACCUAUUUUCUCCAUCCAUUUGAUAUAGCAAGGUGCUAAGCUUUUUUGCUUCCUUCCUAUAAAUCACAUUAAAAAUUUAAUGAUUAAAAUGAAAACUCAAUAUAUUGAAGAGGUUCAUUUACAAUUAGUUUUAAAUUUUAAUAUGUGGAUUAAAAGACUCAAUUUUCUCCUUUGAAUUUGACAGGUGGACAAAUCUAGAGAAAUCUUAAUCUAAUAAAGUUGACGGUUCAAACAGAAUUUUCAUUUCUCCCUGUUCAAGUUAAAAUUCACUGAUCGACCAAUUAAGAUAUCUGUAAUAGUGUACUGUAGGAAUCAUGCCCAAAUGACAAUAUCUAGCAAGAUAUGGUCAUUUGAGACACGAAUUGAAGUUACAUACCUUCAGUUCUGCAACUGUAACUUGAUAACUUCAUUUCACCUCCAUCAAUCUGAGAAAUAGAGCUUCUUCUGUCCAUUGCUCUCCAUUAAUUGCAACAUUUUUUCAAAGAAAUUAUCAAUCAACAAUAAUCAAGGUUAACUCUGAUAAAAAUUUAAGUAACAAUAUUGUCAACUACGAAGAUCAAAACAAGUCAUUCUAUAAAGGCUCCAAGGGAAAGACAUGAAUACAUACACCUAAAAGUGUUCGUUCUUUCUCGCAUCUACACAGCAGCCAUAAGCUGCCAUCUGUUAACAAAAGGAAGAAUUCUCAACUCUAACUCGACAGCGGAAACAACAGAAUUUCUUCCCAAAUGAAACACAGACCAAAACCCUAGAGUCCUUCAGAAUACAAAUGUUAGACCCAUGUAGUAGGCUUAGCUCAGUGCACGACCAUGGAUCGCCAAAUCUCAUCUGCUGGACUCCGAGUUGAAGCUUAGGCUUGGUUUUGAGACCUGUGGACCCAAACCAAGCCAUGGCUGACUCUCCUCCUGUUUGACAGGAGCAACCAUUUCUGAAGAGCCAUUUACUUGAUAUGGUGCCUUGGUGUUGAUCCUGAGAAAAUUUAAAGGGUUUUUAUAUGAGAUUGAUAGAACAAUAGUCACAAAUUUGGCAACAAACAUCAUAAUUCAGCAUUUGUCAUAAAAGCGCAUUGUUGGGCAAGGAUUACCCACCGGUCCUUUCUUUUCUCAAGGAAUCGAUGGAGCGAUGCCCUUCUUGCUAUGGGGAGAUCUGUCAUUCAAAUAGCACAAAUAUUAGCAUCCUUUGCUGCAUGCUUGCUAGGUUAUUGGUUAUACUAUCAUAGACAGGCAUCUUGUCACAAAGAGAGAUUUCUUACUGGAAGCAUUAGGUUGGGCUGGCUUUUGAACUUGGCCUUGAGCCGUCACCGAAGGGUUAGCAGGAGUGGACACCGACACAGGAGUUUCAUUGGAGAGACCAUUUGAGUGGUCCACCGCUGCAGUGGCUUUAGAGGAAGAGGGAACAUAGCCCAAAUUUUGGGCAUUGGAGGUCCCCUUGCUUGCUAUCUGCAUCAGAUCCUUGGCCUUCUCAGCUGGAAAAUUGUCGAACACCAGCACCU
rnacentral:lncRNA from 1 species